AGCUUGAGCCUAAAAUUCAGAACUUGACUACAACUGAGGGUCAAUUGUUUGCUUUAUUUUCCAAUUACUUGGCCGUUUUUGUAGAGCUCACACAUGCAAUCGAUGAAAUAGCAGAGAUUUAUACAAAAUCUACAUUUGAUUUCAUUGAUGCAAAAGACAAGAAGAUGUGAUGUCAUAUUUGAGGGAAAUGAUUCUUCAACGUUACAAGCUUGCUUAGUUUGAGUUUUUUUAAUGCUUGAGACUAUGUAUAUGGAGAGCAGAUAAUUAUAUGUGUUAUAAACAAAUAUAGGAUUAAGUGAAGGAUGAAGUUGACACAAUAGAAGUGACUAGAUU